ensembl:lncRNA
GUCUUAGAGCAGCAGCCCUGAUCGAGGGCCAGACACGGGCAAGUUAUUCCAAGGGAAAAGAGGUUAAAACCACAAAAAGGCAGAACAUUUCCUUCUGAGUGGGAGGGAGACCGGCCCACAAGGCCUAUGUGGAUCUAGCUAUGGGCUGAGACAGGCCAUGAACUUGCUAUGUAUGUAGCCCAGGGUGGUCUUGAGAUCCUCCUGCUUCAGCCUCCUGGGUGCUUGGAUUAUAGCAAUCAAAAAAGAAGAGGAUAUUUUCUGGAAUGUUCACUUUGAAUGUCAGACUCCAGAUUUUCAUUUAGAGCUGCCUAUUAC